ACUGUGUGAAGAUAGCCUCUGCCUCCUCCUUUGGCCUUGUGCAAGGGAAUUGUGCCCACAGCAAAGGGAACAUUAAGCUUUUCACCCUUGGGCACAAACUAGGGGCAAUAAAACCCAUGUCCCUAUAUGU